GAAACUGCUUAAAUCAGGCACGUGAGCUGGAGAUGUAGCGGCAUACUGAAAAGCUUGGCACUUGAGUUCAGACAGACCAUGGUCCCUGCUGCUCUUUGGUACUGCUGGAGAUGGAGAAAAGCACCUUGACUACUGCCAGAACCGCCCAACAAUGCGGAACUUCCCCCAGCUUCUUAUUUCUGAGCUUUCAGGAUUGCAGGCAGGUGGUCACUUCUUAACCUAACCUUGUUAGUCGCCGAAUGAGCUUCCUGCCUGUGUUGUACGUGUUCUGAGCUCUGCCUGGGAGACAGCACACAGCUGCCAUUUAGCAAGGCUACAGAGCCACCGAGACCCAAUGUUCAGCUUCACCUCCACACCAGGUGGGCAGCAGCAGCAGGACUGCAGCACGCUGGCCAGCUAAAGAGAAACAGAAAGCAGAGCAUAUCAGAACAGACCCUCUACCAACACAGCCUCGUUUCAGCCAACGGCUGGAGGCCUCUGCAGUCUUUGGACAACCAUUUUACUCCCAAGUCUGGCUAAGGCUUCACCAUCAGUUUGCUUACAAUUAAUUUCCCAGUGGCAUCACAAGAAUAAAAUACUCACGGGAAUAUACAAGCUUGUGAAAAAACGUUAGCACACUGGAUGCUGUGGAGAUAAAUGCAGGCACAGCCUCAUAUACUCAAGGAUGUGUCACAAACUACUCCUGUGAUUGCUUUAGCAGUUCUCUGACGGGCUGACCACUGGCAGGCACAACCAUGCUCUCGCAGAGGGGCAAGCUUGCCUUGGGAAACAUCCUCACCACAAAGGACGCUCCAGCAGCUCAAGCUGCAUCACUUCUCACUCCCUCGGAGAAACAGGAUCAGCUGCCAAGCGAGGUAAUUCCUAGCAAGGAACUGCCAAUGAUUUGGUGGAUUCCCUUCCUAAAGUACCUGCCCCACGCUGCUGCCAUCUGGCUCACCCAUGAUGACCGCAGCUCCUGUCCCACCACUGCUGGAGCCACAGGCAACCCGGGCGUCCCUCGAGAGGAGCCUCCUGCAGGAAGCCACCAGCAGGAGCAGGCUCGCUUCUUCGUGCUGCUAACAGAGGGACAGUGGCUCACAGGAAAAGUGAAACGAAUUCUUCGCAUUUCUACGCACGGUACAAAAACCAGACCCAUCUGUUCCUCUGGGGACUCUUUGGCUGACACUGAAAUGGCUGGAAAAAAAAAAGAGGUCACAAAACAAAGAGCCAAAGUGAGGAGCAGCGGGUUGCCAGCCCUGGGUGGCGUUCACCAAAGAGGAAACCUGCAAGCCAGCUACAGCCUUCCUAAAACCGCCUUGGUACCUGGGGACAGCAGGGAGGUGAGCAUGACACCACUUCUGUAAGACAAAGAAACCCUGGUGACUUGUAGGCCUCCAAACCCAGCGCUCUUCGAGGAAACACAGACAAUAUUUAAAAUACAGACAAGAAUUAGCAGACUACUGAUGGAUCUGUAUAAAUAUGAUGCACCAGGAAAAAAAAGAAAAUCAUUGAGACUUCUGUAAUGGGACUCCCAGCCUCGCGGAAGGCGGCGCAGACCACUUCAAGUUUCAAAACUUGUGGCUUCCUCAAAGGCUUCUCACAAGGAAUCCGCAAUGCCAAACCGGAACAGGGACUGUCCCCGCAGGGAUAAACAACUGGGCAAGAGAUAACAAACAAGGGUGGGAGUAAACAGUCACUUCCAGCAAGGGAGGGAGUCACAGCAAUUUUUCUGGGACCAGGCCAUUAUCUGAGUCAACGGGGCAGUAGGAGGGUGGGCAGCGACCACGUACUCUGAUGGUAACACCCCAGGCAAGGAAGUCAAGCAGCUGGGAAGAACAGCAGAAAAAUAUUAUGGCUGUAAGUAACCUGGUAGUAAAGUGGUAGAUGAAAUUGCAUGUAGAUAAAGUGAGGCAUACACCAGUCAGUAAUAAAAUCCU